UACGGAGGGUGCAAGCAUUAUUCGGAAUUACUAGGUGUAAAGGGCGUGUAGGCGGAAUAAUAAGUUAGAUGUGAAAUCUUGUAGCUCAACUAUAAGCCUGCAUCUAAAACUGUUAAUCUAGAGUAUGGAAGGGGGAAACGGAAUUUCUGGUGUAGCGGUGGAAUGUGUAGAUACCAGAAGGAACACCGAUGGCGAAAGCGGUUUCCUGGUCCAAUACUGACGCUAAGGCGCGAAAGCUAGGGGAGCAAACAGGAUUAGAUACCCUGGUAGUCCUAGCCUUAAACUAUGGUCAUUAGGUGUGGGGAAAAAUCUCCGUGCCAACGCUAACGCAUUAAAUGACCCACCUGGGGAGUACGGUCGCAAGGCUGAA
rnacentral:rRNA from 1 species